rnacentral:rRNA from 1 species
GACGAACGCUGGCGGCGUGCCUAAUACAUGCAAGUAGAACGCUGAAGGAGGAGCUUGCUUCUCUGGAUGAGUUGCGAACGGGUGAGUAACGCGUAGGUAACCUACCUGGUAGCGGGGGAUAACUAUUGGAAACGAUAGCUAAUACCGCAUAAGAGUAGAUGUCGCAUGACAUUUGCUUAAAAGGUGCAAUUGCAUCACUACCAGAUGGACCUGCGUUGUAUUAGCUAGUUGGUGAGGUAACGGCUCACCAAGGCAACGAUACAUAGCCGACCUGAGAGGGGGAUCGGCCAAAAUGGGAAUGGGACACGGCCCAGAAUCCUACGGGAGGCAGCAGUAGGGAAUCUUCGGCAAUGGACGGAAGUCUGACCGAGCAACGCCGCGUGAGUGAAGAAGGUUUUCGGAUCGUAAAGCUCUGUUGUAAGAGAAGAACGAGUGUGAGAGUGGAAAGUUCACACUGUGACGGUAUCUUAACAGAAAGGGACGGCUAACUACGUG